UUUCGAAGAGUUCGAUCCUGGCUCAGAAUGAACGCUGGCGGCGUGCUUUACACAUGCAAGUCGAGCGGAGACCUUGUCGAAGGGCAACCGGAGAUGAUGUCUCAGCGGCAAACGGGUGAGUAAUGGACAGGUAACGUACCCCCUAGACGUGGAUAGCUCAUCGAAAGAUGAGAUAAUACGCGAUAAUGUUGCAGGGCGAUGGCUCUGCAAAGAAAGCGGGCGCAAGCUCGCGCUUCCGGAUCGGCCUGUCUCCUAUCAGCUAGUUGGUGGGGUAAUAGCCUACCAAGGCGAUGACGGGUAGCUGGUCUAAGAGGAUGGUCAGCCACAUUGGAACUGCGAUACGGUCCAGACUCCUACGGGAGGCAGCAGUGGGGAAUCAUGGUCAAUGGGCGAAAGCCUGAACCUGCGACGCCGCGUGAGUGAUGAAGGUCGUAAGAUCGUAAAACUCUUUUCAGAGAGAUUAAAGCUCCGGCUCUAACAUAGCCUGGAGUAUGACUAUCUCUGGAAUAAGCCCCAGCCAACUACGUGCCAGCAGCUGCGGUAAUACGUAGGGGGCGAGCGUUAUUCGGAAUUACUGGGUGUAAAGGGUAUGUAGGCGGCCUCACAAGUCGCGUGUAAAAGUCCAGCGCUCAACGCUGGGUUCGCACGUGAUACUGUAAGGCUUGAGGGCUGGAGAGGUGAGCGGAA
rnacentral:rRNA from 1 species